AUUGAACGCUGGCGGCAGGCCUAACACAUGCAAGUCGAACGAGUGGCGGACGGGUGAGUAAUGUCUGGGAAACUGCCUGAUGGAGGGGGAUAACUACUGGAAACGGUAGCUAAUACCGCAUACCAUCGGAUGUGCCCAGAUGGGAUUGGCUAGUAGGUGGGGUAAAGGCUCACCUAGGCGACGAUCCCUAGCUGGUCUGAGAGGAUGACCAGCCACACUGGAACGGAGACACGGUCCAGACUCCUACGUGAGGCAGCAGUGGGGAAUAUUGGACAAUGGGCGCAAGCCGGAUGCAGCCAUGCCGCGUGUAUGAAGAAGGCCUUCGGGUUGUAAAAUACUUUCAGCGGGGAGGCGUUACCCGCCGAAGAAGCACCGGCUAACUCCGUGCCAGCAGCCGCGGUAAUUC
rnacentral:rRNA from 1 species